rnacentral:rRNA from 1 species
AUGCUCAAGCGCACCAUGGUGAGCACGCCCGUGUUGGCACUGCCCAACUUCACGCGCCCGUUCGCCAUCGAAACUGAUGCGUGCGACACCGGCGUGGACGCGGUGCUUAUGCAAGAUGGCCAUCUAGUGGCCUACCUCAGCAAGGCUCUUGGAGUACGCAAUCAGAAGCUCUCCACAUAUGAGAAGGAAUUUCUCGCCGUCAUGAUGGCCAUCGAUAAGUGGCGGCCGUACCUGCAGCAAGCUCCAUUUGAGAUCGUCACUGACCACAAGAGUCUCUGUGCACUUGAUGAUCAACAACUGGUAACCGAUCUCCAGCGCAAGGCCAUGUCCAAGAUGGUGGGGCUGCAGUUCUCCUUCCGCUACAAGAAGGGCGUCGACAACAGUGCUGCCGAUGCGCUGUCCCGCGUCGGUCACCUCCUGGAGCUCGACGCACUGUCCAUUUGCCAACCACAAUGGCUUCAAGAAGUCGCCAAUUCCUACGAGACCGACCCCGACUCUCAAGAACUACUCACCAAGCUGGCUGUCAUCAACACUGACGAUCAAGGGCGCACUCUGCAGCAAGGCGUAAUCCGGCAACGCAGUCGACUCUGGAUCGGCGCCAACUCAGCACUUCAGACCAAACUCAUCACUGCUCACCACCACAGCGCCGUGGGAGGUCACUCAGGCACCACAACAACAUAUCAUAGGGUGCGCAAACUCUUUGCCUGGCCGGGUCUGAAGCGUGUCGUUGAGGAUUUUGUUCGCCAGUGCACUGUCUGCCAGCAUGCCAAGCAUGAGAACACGCACCAGGCGGGCAAGCUCCAACCCCUACCAAUACCUACAGCGCCAUGGCAAGAUCUCACCAUGGACUUCGUCGAGGGAUUACCCAAAUCUGAAGGGUGCGAUUCCAUCAUGGUCAUCGUCGAUCGCCUGACCAAGUUCGCGCACUUUGUGCCGCUUCGUCACCCCUUCACCACGGUCCACGUCACCCGCGCGUUCUGGGACAACGUCAUCAAGAUGCAUGGCGUACCUCUCUCCAUCGUCUCUGAUCGGGACAAGAUCUUCACUAGCGCCAUGUGA